GAAAUGCGAGAAAAAUCUCUCCAUCGUCUUCGAAACCAGACCGUCCUCCAUUAAAGCUAUUUCUGUUACCUUCACAAAAUCAAACCCUAGAAAUCCUAGUAAAGGGGAUAAAAAACCCCAUCAAAAUGGUUUUCAUAAGAACCCCAACAAGCACCAACAAAACCCUAUACAUUCACACAAACCCUACCAGCACAACCCUUCAUGCCCUCAAACACCAAAUUCAACUCCAAACCCAAAUCCCAAUAUCUCAACAAAAUCUUCUUCUUCCGAAGAUUUGCCAAAAUCCAAAUACCCUUUUGCUGUCUCAACUUGACAUUGCCAAUAACACAACCCUAACCCUUCACAUCCCUUUACUUGGGGGGAUGCAAGCUCCGGUCGCACCGAAAUCCCGACUGGAUUUUUUAAAUUCAAAGCCUCCAGCUAAUUAUGUUGCGGGGUUAGGGCGUGGUGCUACUGGUUUUACUACUCGUUCUGAUAUUGGUCCGGCACGGGCUGCACCGGAUUUGCCUGAUAGGAAUGCCGGGGCGGCAGCUGCGGGGCCAGGGGGUGGUGCGGGGCGGGGGAAAGGGGGGAAAGGAGGGGAGGACGAGGAUGAGGACGAGAGUGAGGAAAAAGGUUAUGAUGAGAAUCAGAAGUUUGAUGAGUUUGAAGGAAAUGAUGUGGGGUUGUUUGCUUCUGCGGAGUAUGAUGAGGACGAUAGGGAGGCAGAUGCAGUGUGGGAGGAGAUUGAUAAGAGGAUGGAUUCGAGGAGGAAGGAUAGAAGGGAAGCUAGGUUAAAGGAGGAAAUUGAAAAGUAUAGGGCUUCGAAUCCGAAGAUUACUGAGCAGUUUGCUGAUUUGAAGAGGAAGUUAGUAACAUUGUCUGCUGAAGAGUGGGAGACUAUUCCAGAUAUCGGGGAUUAUUCAUUGAGGAAUAAGAAGAAGAGGUUUGAGAGUUUUGUGCCGGUUCCGGAUACUUUGUUGGAGAAAGCUAGACAGGAGCAGGAACAUGUUACUGCAUUGGAUCCUAAAAGUAGGGCGGCUGGCGGAGCUGAGACGCCAUGGGGGCAGACGCCAGUCACAGAUUUGACUGCUGUUGGAGAAGGAAGAGGGACUGUUUUGUCAUUGAAGUUGGAUAGGUUGUCAGAUUCGGUUUCUGGGUUGACUGUUGUUGAUCCUAAAGGGUAUUUGACUGAUUUGAAGAGUAUGAAGAUUACUAGUGAUGCAGAGAUUUCGGAUAUUAAGAAGGCUAGGUUGUUGUUGAAGAGUGUUACACAGACGAAUCCAAAACAUCCCCCUGGUUGGAUUGCUGCGGCAAGGUUAGAAGAGGUGGCAGGGAAGAUUCAGGCGGCUAGGCUGUUGAUACAAAAAGGGUGCGAGGAAUGUCCUACGAAUGAGGAUGUCUGGUUGGAGGCUUGCAGGUUGUCGAAUCCUGAUGAAGCGAAGGGGGUUAUUGCAAAGGGAGUUAAGAGGAUUCCCAAUUCCGUCAAGUUGUGGAUGCAGGCUGCGAAAUUGGAGAAUGAUGAUUUUACUAAGCGGAAGGUUUUGUUGAAGGGUUUAGAGCAUAUCCCGGAUUCUGUGAGGCUGUGGAAAGCAGCGGUGGAGUUGUGUAAUGAGGAGGAUGCUAGGACUUUACUUGGUAGGGCAGUGGAAUGCUGUCCUUUGCAUGUUGAGUUGUGGUUAGCAUUUGCAAGGUUGGAGACGUAUGAAAAUGCGAGGAAGGUGUUGAAUAGGGCGAGAGAAAAGUUGCCCAAGGAGCCAGCUAUAUGGAUUACUGCUGCCAAGUUGGAGGAGGCAAAUGGGAAUACACCAAUGGUUGGGAAGCUUAUUGAGAGAGGUAUUAGGGCUUUGCAGAGAGAAGGGGUGGUGAUUGAUAGGGAGGAAUGGAUGAAGGAGGCUGAGGCAGCGGAGAGGGCUGGUUCUGUGGCAACUUGUCAAGCGAUUAUUAAGAACACAAUUGGAAUUGGAGUCGAAGAAGAGGAUAGAAAGCGAACAUGGGUGGCGGAUGCAGAGGAGUGUAAGAAGAGGGGGUCUAUUGAGACUGCUAGAGCAAUUUAUGCGCAUGCAUUGACGGUGUUUUUGACUAAGAAGAGUAUUUGGCUUAAGGCAGCACAGCUUGAGAAGAGUCAUGGCACAAGAGAAUCCCUCGAUGCAUUGCUACGGAAGGCAGUUACUUACAGGCCACAGGCUGAAGUUCUAUGGCUUAUGGGCGCUAAAGAGAAGUGGCUUGCUGGAGAUGUACCUUCUGCCCGAGCCAUUCUUCAAGAAGCUUAUGCUGCUAUACCGAACUCUGAGGAGAUUUGGCUUGCAGCAUUUAAGCUUGAAUUUGAGAAUCAUGAGCCAGAAAGAGCUAGAAUGUUGCUAGCUAAGGCAAGAGAAAGAGGUGGUACAGAAAGAGUCUGGAUGAAGUCUGCAAUUGUAGAAAGAGAAUUAGGCAAUAUCGAGGAGGAGAGGAAACUGCUGGAUGAAGGGUUGCAGCGUUUCCCUUCAUUCUUCAAACUGUGGUUGAUGCUUGGGCAGCUCGAGGAGCGUCUUGGUAAUUUGGAUAAAGCCAAGGAAAUUUAUGAGGCGGGUUUGAAGUCCUGCCCAAGUCAUGUGCCUCUUUGGCUUUCUCUUGCUAACCUCGAGGAGAAAACAAAUGGGCUCAGUAAAGCUCGAGCAGUGCUUACCAUGGCAAGGAAGAAGAAUCCUAAGAACCCUGAACUUUGGCUGGCUGCAAUCCGUGCUGAAUCAAGGCAUGGGAAUAAUAAGGAAGCUGAUAACUUGAUGGCAAAAGCAUUGCAGGAAUGUCCUACCAGUGGCAUACUUUGGGCAGCAUCUAUUGAGAUGGCUCCUCGUGCUCAACAUAAAAGCAAGAGCGCGGAUGCAAUUAAGAAAUGUAGUCCUCAUGAUCCACAUGUUACAACUGCUGUGGCCAAGUUGUUCUGGCGGGAAAGGAAGGUUGACAAAGCUAGGAGUUGGCUGAACAGGGCAGUUACCCUUGCCCCAGAUAUUGGAGAUUUCUGGGCGUAUUACUACAAAUUUGAACUUCAGCAUGGGAAUGAGGAAGACCAGAAGGAUGUCUUGAAGAGGUGCAUUGCUGCAGAACCAAAGCAUGGUGAAAAAUGGCAAACGAUUUCAAAGGCUGUGGAGAACUCUCACCAGCCUACUGAAGCCAUCUUGAAGAAAGUGGUGGUUGUUCUUGGGAAGGAAGAGAGUGCUUCUGAAAAUAAUGACCAUUAGUUCCUUACUAGCAUGUGUACAAAAUUAUGCCUGGAAGCUGCAACAAGUUCAGGAAUCACACGAGUCCUGGAUCUGGCAUUAGAGGGAUAGGAAGUAGUAGGAUGCUGAUUUGUCUAAAGUGAACGAGUUCAGUUGAGUGUCGAAGGUUGAAGAUGGAAAAACUUUGGAAUGAUGGCAUGUAUUCAGUCCAGAUAUCUCUCAUUGGUUCUUGAUCAUCUGCCGGAACUAUUUUCUUAUACUGGCACCUUGAAGACUUUCGCUUGCUGUUUGUUUCAUAAACUAUUAUCCUCUUGUUAUGUGUUGUUUGGUUGCCCUUUUAACCCUCAGGCCUCAAGGGAUGUGUACGCCGCUGCUGCUGCUGAGGCGAAUUGCUCAAUGUGACUGGAUCUUGCUCUUGCUGCGUGCAUGUAAUUGUGGUUGUCUUUUCGGUAUUUUAGCCCAGGUGGCUUACCUUUUCUUUUUGGCUGCUGCUGGCCUCCUUUUGGGAUGAAUUUUGUUCCCGGCUGCUGAUACGUGAUGUUUCUGGGCUGUUGGCUGCAGCUUCUGUACUGUUCCUUUUCCCUUCAUGGCUCAAUAAUUAAUACAAUAAAAGAGCUUUUGAGAGUUGAAACCUGACACAA